rnacentral:tRNA from 1 species
GGGCAUGUAGCUCAGUUGGUUAGAGCGUCACACUGAUAAUGUGAAGGUCCCAGGUCCGAAUCCUGGCAUGCCCA